AUAUUUUAAAGCUAGAUUGUCAUCCCUUCCAAGCUCUGUCCUUAUUAAAAAAAAAAAAAAAAAAAAAACCAACAACUAUACAACAAUUUGAAAAAAGAAAAAAACUAAAACAGAACAAUAUACUUCACUGUUAGAAUUCUAACAAAGAUGAUCUAAUCACAGGGACAGAUCUUUCUUGGUAACAGUGUUUUUACUUGGGUCAGGACAUGUAUAGCCCUGUUAUAUCCAAUCACCUUGAACACAGGGAAGGGAAAGGCACUAAAUCCAAAUCCAAUCUCUACUGGAAGUAAGUAAAGAAUAGGAGGCAUAGAGAGUCAAAACUCAGUUCUUUAAUUUCUCAUUCUUCAAUACCGAACUCUGGCAGCCUACUUGGAUUUUUGCCAGAAGCUUUCCAUAUGCUUGUUUUACUGGUCCACUCCUCUUGCCAUCUGAAGUUUAGAAAGGUAAACAGUUUCCAAUAAACCCUUCUUGACUACCACACAAUUAUUUUGUCUACUCUGAGUUGUGGGAUUGGUAUAUCUUCAUAUGAUUUCUUGCUUUAAAAUAUCUUUCAUGGUGAGGAGAAUUAGAGUGCCUUUCUUAACAUUUCCAAGUGCAAUUCACAUUAGUAUUUGAUAACAUUUUUGGAUGUACAGAAGGUUUCUCUUUAGUUUAUUUCAAGCCAAAAUUUUAACAGCGCACCUGCAAUCUGAAUGUUUUGAGACUGUAUCUGAUUUUCCAAGAGUAGUAAAUACUUUCUGUUCUUAUGCAAUGCACUGUACAUCAGUCUUGCACCAAUCUUGUAUCAGCUUGGCAAGUAAAAUUUUCUAGGGUGACAUUUUCAGCAUUCUGUAUCUGCUCAAUUGGGACCACGGACAGCUCAGUGCUGACAGGGACCGGGGGGAGCAAGAGAGAGCUCCUAGCUGGCUGCUGGGACUAAAUAAGGACUGAAUUCAGGGAGGGCUACAGGAAGACAGUGUCUCCAGGGAGGAAGUCCUGGGUGUACAGCCUCAUACCAGGGCCAGAACAAGUUAAAGACUGUAUACCCCAGAAGGGGUUUUGUUCUGUUUCAAAUACAGACAGUGUGAGAGAGUCAGACAGAGGGCUGAGUCACUGAAAAGCCACCCAAGAAACCACAAACAGGGGUCACGACAAACAGAGACUGCAGGCACACACACUUGACCAGGGGGCACUCACGAGAGAUGGGUUCCGCCCUGUUAAAAUAAAGGACUAAAUCUCCUAAAAAGAGCCUUUAUUUUAUAAUAAAGGAACAAUAAAUCUUUUCCCUGCAUCUGAGAAAGAAAAUAAUCUAGAAAUGAAAAGGUGAAAACAACAAAGCAAACAGUGAGAGUGCCCUAGUUACAAUUUCUAAUGACUUCUUGAGAGAGACUGAAAGAAGGAACUUUUUCCACUUUGAAUAGGUUGUGAUGAUCCUGAUAAACAGAGAGAGGGCUAUUAAAACUUCCCUUGACCCAUAUGGGACAAUGGCCAGUCAUGCUGUAAUGAGAUAAGUGAUGAAUAACUGCAUACCUGCAAAAAGCAUUUGCAGAUUCAUAACAUUAAGUUUCUAUGAACUUAUGGAAAAGAUGGGGGAAGUUAUAUGCCAAGGACCCUGCAUUAUUUGUGUCCCUGAACUGUUUUCCACCUGUACUUGGUGGUUACUGACCAGAGUACAGGUGGAAAACAGUUUUCACUACAUUAACAAUGGUGCAACAGGGAAACAGAAUAUAAAAUUAAAUUGGUCGAGGCUUUGGUCUAGUUCUUCAGUAAUAAGAUUAAAGAAAAUUUACAAAAGGAUUGAACUCCUAAUACACUUGGGAAAUACUGUGUAGUGCAGCAUGCACAGGAAUCAAUUCAUUUCAGGUGAAUGUGCUUAGCUUCCUUCAGUAGUUUUGAACAAAGGCUUAAAUAGAGGACUAAAGGAGCUAUGUUGCUUAGCUACAGUAAGUGGAUAAAAUAAAUAGAAAACAGGAUGGGGAACUUUCUGCACUAGCCAAUGAGAAAGGGGAACCAUGCGGAGAGUAGUGCUUACCCAGUCUAGGGAGAAGAGCUCAAUUCUCCUCUGCUUUUAACAGAGAAAGUGGAGCUGUGUUCUCUCAAACUCCUAGCUACCAUCUCUACAUAUGGGAUAAAAACAGAGAAAUGGUAGGAUCUAGAUCAUCUUUACAUUCAAGAUCAUGUAAAGCUGAAGUCAGAGAAAUAAAAAAGCAGAUACGUUUAUGGAAGAGAAAGAUCAUUACAUAUUUUAUUACUUAUUUUAUCAUCAGCUAAAAUAUUUGUUUUUUAGCCAGUGUUUUAUUAGAUUUAUCAUCCUCCAAUACAUUUUAUAAGAACCACAGGUGACCAAGCAGGAGUUUUAAAAUUAAUUUUUACAAGAGAUAAAUUAUGACUUUUGAACACUUUUCAUAUAACAAUUUAGCAUGUAAUUAUGGAGAUGAUAUAUGUUAAUUCUAAAUAUGGCAUGUUGCAGUAUUGAUAUUUCUAAAUUUUACAUACAAAGAUUUCAGAUUUUAUACAUUUUCUUUUUACCAAAGAAAUACAGACCUUAGUAUCUUUCAGAUAAUGUUAAGCAAACAUAUUAAUAACUGCUUCAGUGUUAACUUAAUUCUAAUUUAUGGAGAAGUAUUUACUCAAACCACUAGAGCUCAGCUUAAAAUAAAUGGUUUCUUACUUACUAGAUAAAAAGCCCUGGUAUAUUAUUAACAGCAGCCUGAUAUAUAGUAUAUAAGUUAGACUUAACUAUAUGUAUAUAUAGUAGAUCCCUCUAUUGCAGAUGCCUUAAUGUUUAUGAUUAAGCAGUUUUAAAAUAUAUUAUUCAAUAAAUUAGUUUACAUCAGUUCAUGUUUUUAAAGUUUUUUCACAACCAUGAAGACUACAAAACAAACAAUUUUUAAAAUGGAAGCUUCUGGAGCAUAAUUCUGUGGCUGGGGUAGAUUCCACAGAACUUUUAUAGCUACAGAAUCACAGAAUACACAGGGGCCUGAGUAGGGCUGAUUUGAUAUAGGGAAAUACAGUUAGACAUACUACAUACUUCAUAUGAACAGCUGAGAAUAUAUCAGAAAAAAAUGGUUUACAUGAAAAUGUGCAUCAUUUAGAUAUACACCUCUAGACAAUGUUUAAAUACCUCCAAAUAUGGAAGUGCUUGUUGUACCACCAGAUAGAAGGGCAUUAAAUUAAGGAACUAAGACUUGUAGGUAAAACUGGCCAGGAAUUUUUUGUCAAAAAUAUCUUUUUGAUGGCAAAAUGCAGAAUCUGCAAAAUCAUAGGAAAAUUUCAACUUUGAUUAAUUUUUUUGAUUUUCCAUCUGGAAAACCAAAACAUCUCCCAGAAACGGUAACAUUAAUAUCAGCAACAUUAAGACAGAAUAAUUUCCCAAAUGUAUACAAUGUGUGACAGUUAGUUAUGUGGAUACAAAAGUGUCUGGGAUUGCUGUGAAGAUUUUGCACUUGAGUGCCAGGGUGAUGAAGUUGUGGUAUGUAUUGCUUUUGGUAUCUGUUGGAGGUGUGAAAGCAUUAUGGUAUGUUGGAGUGUGUUAUUACUGUGAUGUAGGCAAUAUAAAAGUGGCAAGGAGGCUUUUUCCUUAAUUUGUUAUUUCCAACUUUUUCAGAUUUUGAGUUGGUGGGCGUGUCCUGAUGCAACCUUUACUGUCGCCAAACAAGUUUUGUGCAAUUCAUAUAAUAUUCACCUUCUGAAUGAAGGAUCUUACUUUCCUUUCCACAAAGGUACACACACACACAGGAUACAAUACCAUGCAUCUGUAAAAUUUUCCGUAAAAGGAGAUCACUUACCUAUAACCGGAAGUUCUUUAACAUGUGUGGUCCCCUAUCUGCAUUCCAUAUGUGGGUACGUAUGCACACCAUGCGCCUGAGGCUGGAAAAAUCCUGCAAGUAGCGUAGAUUGGUCCGCAGCUGCGCCCUGGAUCUCCUUGUGCUUGGCAUUGCAGUAUAAGGGGAGAUGUAAACCAACCGUCUCUUCAGUUCCUUCUGUACCAUGAAUCCAGUCACAAUCCGUAGCAGAGGGGAAGGCAUGUGGGUAGUGAAAUAGUUUGAACAGUCUCCAAACAUGAACGCUCUAGGUCUGAUGCCCAUCCAAAUACCAAGCCAUGAGGUGAAGAGGGUCUGGGCUGGGGUGCUUGAUCCUGCUAUUCUCUGGAGUUAGCAGGUCCAGGAAGGACUGAAUGCUAUGGGUUGACAUUCGUAGGAGGACCAGAAACCACAACUGUCUGGGACAACUUGUUGUGAUGAGAAUGGCUCAUGCUUUGUCAUGAUGCAUUUUCUUAGAACCUGGGGUAGUAGUUGGAUGCGAGGGAAAGAGUAUCUCAAGAAGCUUGUCCAGGACAGUAGGAGGGCACUUUUUGUUCACCUGGGAGGUGAACAGGUCCCAGGAUGGCAUUCCUCACUGACUGAAGAUGUUCAGCACUGAAUUGUGUAACAGCCACUCAUUAGUGGUGAAAUUGUAAUGUAGUUCUAUAUACACCAGUUCCAUAAGCUGACCACCUCCCCACACAGCGAGAGGGAUUUUUGCCCCUCCCUGUUUGUUUAUAUAGAAGACGGUCAUCACGUUGUCUGACAUUAUCUGGACAAUGGCAGGAUCAUAUGAAUGGGAGGAAUGCACUGCAGGCCUGUCUGACUGCUCUUAGUUCCAGGAGAUUGAUAUGCAUCUUGCUCUCUCCCUAGGUGUCCACAUAUCUUGUGUUGGAUGACCAAACAUGUGGGCUUCCCAGCCUAUGAGGGAUGCCUCAGUGAUUAUUGUCAUGUCAGGUGACAGGUCAGGUGGGAGGUAAGAAGAGAACUCCAAUGCACAUGUGUUCCAGGCUCAUCUACCAGGUGCCUCCUCAGCCAGAGCUUUUGUCCCUCUUGGGUCUGGAGUUGGAAAGAGCAACACAUACUGCACUUGGAGGAGAUAUGAGCCUCUUUAGGCAGGCUGGUGGUCACUGAUAACUGAGAAGAAGCAAGGACAGGAGACAGUUCUUGAACCCUGGAAUACUGGAGAUAAAGACGAUGAGAAGAUAAUUCCAGACACAGAGGAGUUCAAAUGAGAUCAUGCAGCAGCAAGAAGGACCUGAAGAGGCAGUUGGUCCACACCUCCCCUUAUAUCCUCAGGGCUGAGCAUGAGGACAAAGAACUCAAAACCCUUACCAUUUGCCUUGAUGAUUUAUAAACUGUUGAACUGCAUAUCCAAACAGCUCACUUGAAGGACCAGAAAACGAUUUUGCUUCUGGGAGCCCAACGUUGUAUGCGUCACAGC